CGACCGCUGGCGGCAUGCCUAACACAUGCAAGUCGAACGAGACCUUCGGGUCUAGUGGCGCACGGGUGCGUAACGCGUGGGAACCUGCCCUUAGGUUCGGAAUAACUCCCCGAAAGGGGUGCUAAUACCGGAUAAUGUCUUCGGACCAAAGAUUUAUCGCCUUUGGAUGGGCCCGCGUUGGAUUAGCUAGUUGGUAGGGUAAAAGCCUACCAAGGCGACGAUCCAUAGCUGGUCUGAGAGGAUGAUCAACCACACUGGGACUGAGACACGGCCCAGACUCCUACGGGAGGCAGCAGUGGGGAAUAUUGGACAAUGGGCGAAAGCCUGAUCCAGCAAUGCCGCGUGAGUGAUGAAGGCCUUAGGGUUGUAAAGCUCUUUUACCCGGGAUGAUAAUGACAGUACCGGGAGAAUAAGCUCCGGCUAACUCCGUG
rnacentral:rRNA from 1 species